rnacentral:rRNA from 2 species
AAAUUGAAGAGUUUGAUCAUGGCUCAGAUUGAACGCUGGCGGCAGGCCUAACACAUGCAAGUCGAGCGGCAGCGGGAAAGUAGCUUGCUACUUUUGCCGGCGAGCGGCGGACGGGUGAGUAAUGCCUGGGAAAUUGCCCAGUCGAGGGGGAUAACAGUUGGAAACGACUGCUAAUACCGCAUACGCCCUACGGGGGAAAGCAGGGGACCUUCGGGCCUUGCGCGAUUGGAUAUGCCCAGGUGGGAUUAGCUAGUUGGUGAGGUAAUGGCUCACCAAGGCGACGAUCCCUAGCUGGUCUGAGAGGAUGAUCAGCCACACUGGAACUGAGACACGGUCCAGACUCCUACGGGAGGCAGCAGUGGGGAAUAUUGCACAAUGGGGGAAACCCUGAUGCAGCCAUGCCGCGUGUGUGAAGAAGGCCUUCGGGUUGUAAAGCACUUUCAGCGAGGAGGAAAGGUCAGUAGCUAAUA